GAUGAAUGUCAUAAAUAUAUAUCAAAUAGUUAUUUAGGGAACUUCAUAAGUUUGAACGUUCUGCUGUUUCAAACAGAUUUUCAUAAAUUUGAAUGCCCGCUAUGUUAAUUUAGCGUAUUUCAAAGUCGGCUUUAAUGACUCGACCAUUUGUUGAAUUUCAUAAAAAGAGUCGAAUGGUGCAAAAGUUAUGAAAAGUUGACUAUUUUUUAAAUGACAUCACAGAGAACACGAUACUUUAUAUAUUUUACGUCCCUUUCCAAUCAGGAGAUUACUAAGGGGCGGGGGCAAGUUCCAACCACGGGCUGCACCCAGACCCGUGGAGGAGGGCCGGAUGGUGAAGGACAGAGAUCUCCGGGUCGGGCCCAGCUCCCUGAAAAACUUUUCAGGAAUUGUCACCCAGGACGCGAACCCGGGG
rnacentral:lncRNA from 1 species